UACGGGGGGGGCAAGCGUUGUUCGGAAUUACUGGGCGUAAAGGGCGCGUAGGCGGCCUACUAAGUCGGACGUGAAAUCCCUCGGCUCAACCGAGGAACUGCGUCCGAUACUGGCAGGCUGGAAUCCGGGAGAGGGAUGUGGAAUUCCAGGUGUAGCGGUGAAAUGCGUAGAUAUCUGGAGGAACACCGGUGGCGAAGGCGGCAUCCUGGACCGACACUGACGCUGAUGCGCGAAAGCUAGGGGAGCAAACGGG
rnacentral:rRNA from 1 species